CCUACGGGAGGCAGCAGUAGGGAAUAUUGGGCAAUGGAGGCAACUCUGACCCAGCCAUGCCGCGUGCAGGAAGAAGGCCCUCUGGGUUGUAAACUGCUUUUGAACGGGAAGAAAAGCCCAUGCGUGGGUCUAUGACGGUACCGUUAGAAUAAGCCACGGCUAACUACGUGCCAGCAGCCGCGGUAAUACGUAGGUGGCAAGCGUUGUCCGGAUUUAUUGGGUUUAAAGGGUGCGUAGGCGGCCCUGUAAGUCAGUGGUGAAAUAUCGCAGCUCAACUGUGAGGGUGCCAUUGAUACUGCAGGGCUUGAGUGGAGUCGGGGUGGCCGGAAUUUACGGUGUAGCGGUGAAAUGCAUAGAUACCGUAAAGAACACCGAUAGCGAAGGCAGGCCACUGGGCUCCAACUGACGCUGAGGCACGAAAGCGUGGGGAUCAAACAGGAUUAGAUACCCUGGUAGUCCACGCCGUAAACGAUGUUCACUCGGUGUCGGCACACAAGUGCCGGUGCCUUAGGGAAACCGUUAAGUGAACCACCUGGGAGUACGCCGGCAACGGUGAAACUUAAAGGAAUUGACGGCGUGAGAGNGCGACGACGACGACGAGGAGGAGG
rnacentral:rRNA from 1 species